rnacentral:rRNA from 1 species
UACGGAAGGUCCAGGCGUUAUCCGGAUUUAUUGGGUUUAAAGGGAGCGUAGGCUGUUUGUUAAGCGUGUUGUGAAAUGUAAGAGCUCAACUUUUAGAUUGCAGCGCGAACUGGCAGACUUGAGUGCGCACAACGUAGGCGGAAUUCAUGGUGUAGCGGUGAAAUGCUUAGAUAUCAUGACGAACUCCGAUUGCGAAGGCAGCUUACGGGAGCGCAACUGACGCUAAAGCUCGAAGGUGCGGGUAUCGAACAGGAUUAGAUACCCUGGUAGUCAAGGGCG